rnacentral:rRNA from 1 species
UUGUCUCAGUUCGGAUUGUAGGCUGAAACUCGCCUACAUGAAGCUGGAGUUGCUAGUAAUCGCGAAUCAGCAUGUCGCGGUGAAUACGUUCCCGGGCCUUGUACACACCGCCCGUCACACCAUGAGAGUUGGCAAUACCCAACGUACGUGAUCUAACCCGCAAGGGAGGAAGCGUCCUAAGGUAGGGUCAGCGAUUGGGGUGAAGUCGUAACAAGGUAAC